rnacentral:rRNA from 1 species
CCCUUAGAUGUUCUGGGCUGCACGCGCGCUACACUGAUGCGCUCAACGAGUUUUAACCUUGCCUGGAAAGGUUGGGUAAUCUUUUUAAAACGCAUCGUGAUGGGGAUAGAUUAUUGCAAUUAUUAAUCUUCAACGAGGAAUUCCUAGUAAGCGCGAGUCAUCAGCUCGUGCUGAUUACGUCCCUGCCCUUUGUACACACCGCCCGUCGCACCUACCGAUUGAAUGGUCCGGUGAAAUCUUCGGACCGGGCGAUAGUCAGCAAUGACCGUUGCUUGGAAAGUUGCUUAAACCUUACCAUUUAGAGGAAGGUGAAGUCGUAACA